AAACAAAAAUAGGAUAAGUGUAGAUAUGGAGACGGGGCCACACCAGCGUGAAGCCCAGGCCCUGGAAAACUACAACUAGGUAAACACACACACACACACACACACACACACACACACAGGAAGUUUGGCUAAGAUUUCAGUCAUUUGCUAAACUUGAGUAUAGAAAGAGGUGUGUGGUGGUGGUGGUGGUGGUGGCGGUGGUGUGUGGUAGAAGGUAAGGCUGUGAUGAUGAUGUGGUGUAUGGUGUAGCAGCAACCACCACCACCACCACCACCACCAGAGAGAAGUUUGAAGAUGCUCGUGGUGAGAGAGAGAGAGAGAGAGAGAGAGAAUUUAAGCUGUGAUAAUGAUCAACUUAGCAGCGGAGAUAAUCUAGAACAGGUGGAAGGUGAAGAUGAAGAAGGAUUGAGAGAAGAACUGGAGGAGGAAGGAUUGAGAAGGAGAAGAAGAUGAAGAAAAGGAUGAAA